UACGUAGGGUGCAAGCGUUAUCCGGAAUUAUUGGGCGUAAAGAGCUCGUAGGCGGUUUGUCGCGUCUGCUGUGAAAACUGGAGGCUCAACCUCCAGCCUGCAGUGGGUACGGGCAGACUAGAGUGCGGUAGGGGAGAUUGGAAUUCCUGGUGUAGCGGUGGAAUGCGCAGAUAUCAGGAGGGACACCGAUGGCGAAGGCAGAUCUCUGGGCCGUAACUGACGCUGAGGAGCGAAAGCAUGGGGAGCGAACAGG
rnacentral:rRNA from 1 species